rnacentral:rRNA from 1 species
AAUAGUCUUUUAAUUGAAGGCUUGAAUGAACGGUCGGACAUGGGGGGAGCUGUCUUAUUAAGUGGUUCCGAAGUUGACUUCUGUGUGAAAAGGCAUUGAUAGGUUGGGGGGACGAUAAGACCCUAUAAAACUUUAUGGUUGGGUGGUAAUUCCCUGAUUUUAGUAAAGGGGGAGUGUAACAGAUCAUUACGCUGGGGCGGCGGGAAUAUAAGCUGUAACUGUUCUUACAGAUAAAACGAUUAUAGUCAGAUAUUGACCCUGAAUUUUGGUUUAUAAGUGUAAGUUACUUUAGGGAUAACAGCGUUAUUUUCCCUGAGAGUCCAUAUCGACGGGAACAUUUGCGACCUCGAUGUUGAAUUAAAGCUUUUUCCGGGGGUAGUAGUUCGGAAGGUAGGUCUGUUCGACCUUUGAAGCUUUA